GUGCUCUCUUUGGCAGCUCAUAUACUACCAUUGGAACAAUACAGAGAAGAUUAACAUGGCCCUUGCACAAGGAUGACGCACAAAUUUGUGAAGCAUUCCAUAUAUUU